UACUCUUGACAUCCAGAGAACUUAGCAGAGAUGCUUUGGUGCCUUCGGGAACUCUGAGACAGGUGCUGCAUGGCU
rnacentral:rRNA from 1 species